rnacentral:lncRNA from 1 species
GGCUUUGGCCUGUGGGUCUGCGAGCAGGUUGUGUUUUCGUACCGUCGUAGGUUUUCUUUCUCUUUUCUUUCUCCUUUAGCGCCAGUCUUUCUCCCUCCCUCGCCCUCUCCUCUCUCUUCCUCCGCACUUUCAUUAUUACUUGACGAUUUACUACGUAUGUACAGUGUACGAGUCCUUCCUUUCUCCAAACCCCGUCCCAUUUUCGUGGCCUUGAUUUGAUUCUUGUGGGUGUGGUUGCUUGGUGUGAUGCGCCGAGUGUAAUUCUGAUUUCUUGUAUGUGCGUGGGUAAAAAAAAAAAAAAGCUAUUUUCUUUUUCUUCUUUUUUAAAUUUAUAUAUGUGAAUUCACUGUCGCUGUCUUCAGACGCACCAGCAGAGGGCGUCAGAUCCCAUUGCAGAUGGUUGUGAGCCACCAUGUGGUUGCUGGGAUUUGAACUCAGGACCUCGGGAAGAGCAGUCAGUGCUCUUAACCGCUGAGCCAACUCUCCAGCCCCAGCUAUUUUCUUUUUAAGAAUUUCUUUCCAAAAUAUGAUCUCAGCUAGGCAUAGUGGCCCAUGACCUUAUUCACGGCCCUAAGGAGGCAGAGGCCAGCCUGGCUUACAUGAGUUCCGGGCCAGGCAGGGCUACGUAGCUAGACCUUUUCUAAAACAAAACAAAACGAAUUUCAAAAUUAAAGUCCUACCAAAUUAUAUCAGGCUGGCCUUGGGCUUUUGAACCUCCUCUCUCAGCCUAACUUUGGUCGGGAUGGCAGACAUACCCAACCACACCCAACACAGGAACUGGAAUUUUCGAGCACUUUUGACAGAAUAUGAAGGCUGUCUUGGGUCGGUGCAGGAGAGCUGCUGGACUGUGGCCCGGGCCUUUGCGUGUCCUGGGGGGAACUCGGCAACCCUCGACAACCCAGCAGGUACCUCGACAGGGGCACCUGUGUCUUCCUGGCGGACACGCCACUGGCCCUGUCCCAACAGUCCCAGCAUGUUCCACUGCAGGGGUCACAGUAUGUCCCCAUGUGAGUCUUUCUGCUGACUGCAUGCCCCUGCUCCUGCCAUCUCUGUGCACAGCUUUAACAUCCUCCCUGCGGGGAGCAGUGACUAGUGUUUUAUCCCUGAGGAUAAAAAGGCUGUUUUGAUAACGGGCAGGCUUGGGUUGAGAGGAGCUGCUGCUAAACAUAGCACUGAGAAGGUUCGGGGGGGGGGGGGGGGGUUGUUGCUGCUUUGUCUGAGUGCCCCCAGGUCCCCUGAGAACUAUUCUUGACGCCUCUGAAAAACAGGUUCCCUUUGAGGAAACAUGUCUGAUCUCUAAGCACUGGCCUCAAAGCUCCCCUUUCCUGUUUGCUUUGCUUCCUACCCCAGCUUCUCAAUUCUUUUUCCUUUUAGAAAAAAGACAAAGAAAACACCAGCUACCUUUCUGGAUAUGUUGUACCCAAGGCCUUUGCAGUGUUGGGAACACAGAAUGAGCAGGUGUGGUGACCCUGAAAGGCUGGUCGCAUGCAGAGGCCAUCUGCCAUUCAGGGAAGGCUACUGCCUCGUCAAGCAGUCUCCACCCUGCUGUAAUUAAAUAUCUUGAAUUUUCUUUCUUUCCCCCACGUAAAUGAAGGGCUUCUUGGUCUUCUCU